GCUUUGUGACGAGGGGGACUAGCGCUGCUUUCCCAAGACAGGUUUUUAUGUGUAUGAUCUUCAGGCUUUGCCUAUCCAGGUUGAGCAGCUGAUGGAAUGGAAUGAUGUUGAGCGGGUGUUCUUUUGACAUUUCAAGAAAUGUAACCUUGAGUAUACAUCUUCAUAUGUAUAUCUCACACGUUUUUCCGCUGCAAAACACUUUUAUUAGAAUAACUCUAUGUUAUGAAGUUGUGACACGUGUUAUUGGAUAACCCACCUUAAUCAGUUCUCCUUCAUGUGUAUGUUUUAUAAGUAUCCAAAUGAUCAUAUAUGAUCCUAGCAUCUUAUCUAUGAGUGACAUUCUCAUAUACCUUAAUGUUAAGUAAUUGUCCAUUUC